CACCACCCCCUGUAACCCAUGGAGCCCGUAAAGAGACAGGAUUGCAAUUCACAGUGGCAGGAGCUGUCAUGUGCAGAGAUGGAGCAAUCCAGAAAGCGCUUUCAAAUCCGUGUCCCCUCCUGACCCCAUCUACUCACGGUCUCUGGCAGCAGCCUGUAAUGCCCUGUGCUUCAGAGAAAACUCCACUUUCUCCAAGAAUAGCAACGUAGGUCGUGGGAAGCAGUGUGCUGGCAUGAGCUGUAUGCCAUGGAGGGCUGAGGCACAGGGAGGAGAAGAUGUGAACCACAAGGCUCUGCCCUGAAUAAA